GGGAAUAACUCAGUGGUAGAGUGCUAGCUUCCCAAGCUGGAGGCCGCGGGUUCAAAUCCCGUUUCCC
rnacentral:tRNA from 1 species